ACUUUUUUCAUAGUUUGGCUGGUCCUGCGACUUAUAGUCAGGUACGACUUAUUUAUCAAAAUUAAUUUGACAUGAACCAAGAGAAAUUAUCCAAAAGAAAACAUUACCAUCUACACAUAAGAGAGGUUGCUCUAUGCUGCUCAGUUCUUGGUUCUAAAUAAAUGCAGCAUAGUCCAGUGCGACUUAUAGUCCGAAAAAUACGGUAUAUUGUUUACGAUUGUGAUCGCAGAAUAAAAACACUUUGCUGUUAUUUCAAUAGAAAAAUAGACCAUUGCAAUUAUGGAAUUAGUGGAAUUACUAGGAAUUUCACUUUUAUAAUAUUUGUUUGUUUUAGCUGUUUGCAUUAAGUAGACAGAAAGAUUGCGUAAGUCUCUGGUGUUUAUUUAUAUAAUAAAAAGCCUAUAAUAAAUCAGAAUACUAGAUUAGGUAAAAUACACCACGCAUGUGUCCACAUUCUGUUGAUUUGUGCUAACUGGAGAAUGUAAUACCUCAAAUACAAAAGAACAUUUCUCAAAGACAACAA